AAGAGAGAGAGAUUUAAAUUAGGAAACAGUAUUUCUAGAAAAUCACUAAAUCUUCUGACGGCCUUAUCAAUAUGGAUAAUACCAAUUAGCUUUCAUAAUCGAAUCCUGAAUAUUUCCCAUUCAUCUAAUUGACGAUUGAAAUCCCUAACCCAUUCAUCUAAAGGGGUCUUAUUGAAGUCUUCAAUUUCUCUCAUUUAGCUCUCUUUCCAGAGUAGCCAAGCAGUGCAAGUGAUUGUUUAUUGGGUAUCCGAAAAAAUGGCCAAUACAAGGAGUUAUGUCAAGAAAACGAAGCCCGAAAUCGACGACGAAUCUGCCAUUGAUCACGAGAAAACAAGAAGGCCAAAAGUCGCGAGGGUAGUUUGCGGAGGAACCCAUAAAAUGCCGAUUAUGUCUCGAAAACCUAAAUCGAUCAAGGUAAUGUAAUUACCUUUCCCAAUUCAGAUUAUGGGUUUUUUCUAUUGCAAUGUUGUUGGAAUAGCAUGAGUUGCAUUCUACCGUUGAUUUAUAGUUCCAGACAUCCCAGAAUCUGUAGCCGGUGACAGUAGAGGUUUUUUGUGUGACCAAUAAUGUGUUGCGACCGACACAGUGAACGGGUUUAUGUCAUGCGUCUGUGACCGCAAAGUUUUUUGUGGUCCAAACAUUGUGUUUUUGUGAGCAUUUGUGUUGUGACUAGUUUAUCGUUGUGAAGCAUGGGUGAAAUUGUGAUCGUGUGUCAACAGAAAGGCAGUAUAUGUUGACACUGUUGUGACUCGUUCAUUUUUGUGAACGACACCGUGUUGGGACCAGCACAUUGAACCGGUUUGUGUCCUCUGUCUGUGAGCUUAUAGGAUACUUUUGUGACCAACAAUAUGUUGUGAUCUUUGUGACCAAUACAAUCGGUGUGAAGAAUGUGUGAAAUGGUGUGUCACAGAUAAGGUAUUUAAAGGAUUGAAAUGUUCUUGUGAUUGGGAUUUUUGUUGUGACCAUUGUAAUCGGUGUCACUAGGGUAUGUGAAGGUAGAUGUGUUUUGUGUGACAAACAGUGUGUUUUGACAAUCACGACCACUACAAUCGAUGUGUCCUAUGUGUGUAAUGGUGUGUUUCAAAAUGUGGAAUAAGUUGAGGCCAUUGUCACCACUUACAAUCUCUAUAACACAGUGCAUGGGUUUGUGACCUUGAUUAUGAUAGUGGAUGUGUUUUAUGUGACCAACUGUGUUUGUGACCACUGUAAUCGGUGUGACCAAUGUGUAAAAAUGGUGUUUUUUCACAAAUAUGGAAUUUCUUGAGACCGUUGAGACCACUAUUUUGGUUGUGACCAACUUGUAUCACGGUUUGUGACGAACCAUAAAAUUGACGAUCUCAGAUGUUUUGUAAUGGUGCGCAGGAAGUAGUAAUUUGUUUAACGUACAUGAUUCAUGUCUGCAUGCACUUGAGUGGUACGUAGGAAGUAGUAAUUUGUUUUGCAAUGAUGCGUAGGAAGUAGUAAUUUGUUUAACGUACAUAAUUCAUUUUAUGUUGCUUACUGUGACGUAAUAAAGUGUGGAUUUUCUUUUCAGCCACGAUUGUAGCAUAUUUGUCAUUAAAUAUGCAGAAUACAUGCUCCAUAACGAAAUGAAGACCAUGCCGACGACCUUUGAUGCUAGCCGAGCUAGGGCUAGACAUUGCUAAGUUACUUUUUAAACAUGAGGAGAUCAAGAAAAUGACAAAGCCGGUGACAAAGAAGGGAGAGAGCAUCGAGAUAGAGUGAUAGUAGAUGAUCAAUUUUAGUGGCUAGUUGGAUAUGCAAUGUCUAUGACUCUUUAGUAGAUUAUCAGUUUUAGUGGCUAGUUGAAUAUGCAAUGUUUAUGACUCUUUUUCAGGUAUGAGACAUACAUGUUUUGAAUUGUUUAUUUUGAUCACCUAUAAUGCCAUUUAAUUUCAUGUGUCUUCCGG
rnacentral:lncRNA from 1 species